rnacentral:lncRNA from 1 species
AGGGCCAAGCCUGGACAAGCAGUUGCCUGGCCCUUACCUCUCAUCUUAAUCAAUAUUUAAUAUCGAUUCUAAGACACAAGGCAAGAAGAUGGCAGUUUAGUAGCAGCAAAAGCUGGAAUCACUCCAAGAAUUCUCCUAAGACAGAAGAAUGCAAAAGAAGUUCAUGUUGGAUUUAAUUAGCCUCAGGGCUUGAGGAUGGAAGAAAGGACAGUUCUAGAACUCCAUGUUUUUUCCCUGUUAUGUGGCUGGAAGGUGAGGUGUGGAUGCUCAGUCCUCUUGAGACUACAAACAAGGAAAACCAAAGCAAGAACUAAAAUUCUUGUUAAGCUUUUCAAGGACUUGGAGAAAUUUGGAAACAUCAUGGGUAGAAUUGCCCUAAGGCAGCAUGAUAUUGUGGACAGAAAGUUAGCCUCAAGACCAGGAAGACCUGAAUUCCAAGCCAGUUUCUGGUCUACCUAUAGACAGACCAGGAGUGGUCAUUCAACAGUCUGGAAGUUCCCAGCUCCAAGAUUCACCCACUAGACAUACCUUACUUUAAAAUGCGUGAACCUGCCCUUUAUUUGCACUGAUUUCUCCAUCUUUUUUAUCUCAUCUCAUUUUGUUUCGCAACGUCAAGCAAUCAUGAAACCUUGGUUUGAAGGCAGCCAGAUGCCAAGGUGCAGAGGGCUCAAUAGGAGCCUGCUGUGACAAAAUCCAGUCUUCCCCAUCAGCAUCCAGCCCUGCACUGUGCCUUCUGAUGACAGACUCACAGUGCAACUCACAGUUGCUCUCGUCAGUGAUUUACAAGGAUUCCAAUGGACUGCAUUGCGUGACCAUAAAAUAAUGACAUUGGCUUUGAGAAAGAACAUGACAAAACUUAAAUAUCUAUGUGAAUGCUGUCCCCAUCCAAUCUGCAAAAAAAAAAAAGCAUUUUGAGAUCUCCUUCUAUGCAACUAUUUAUAUAGCACAUAGAAAAAAUCCAGAUGAUUAUAUUCACAGACCACACAGUCUUGGACCUAUGUCAUUUCCACCCCCUUUCUCUCUUUGAUUUGUCCUCUUCCUGCCUCACUACUUGCAGGCACAAGGAACUUGCUUGAUUUUUAGGUUUGUAUCCUCUUCAUUCAUUCAUUCAUUUACCCUAUUUCGUUUUACUCACUUGAUCUUCUGCUGGAAUUCAAAAAUCCCCAGAGAGGAGAGGGUCUCUUGUGUGAGGGCUGGGGCAGGGAGUGAAGGAAGGAGUUACACCAGAAAGCUGGAAGGGAAGGGUAGGCUGUAAGGAUCAGUGAGUUUCAGCGACUCCCCCAGUGUCAUUCAAAUGUCAAGUGGCAGAGUCAGGGUUUGAACCCAGAUCUUUUGACUUCAAAUUUUCUACUGCCCUCACUAAGGUACCUAUGACAUAGGUCCAACUUUGGGGAGUUUUUUGCUGCUAGAAGUAUACCAAAUGGAUAAGAUUUGGGAUAAUGGAUUGAGCACCAUGAAUAUAGCACAUCUAAGUAAAACUCUGGUGUAAAUCAUUAAUAAUAGUUAAUAUUUACAUAGCUCU